CCUACGGGAGGCAGCAGUGGGGAAUCUUGCGCAAUGGGCGAAAGCCUGACGCAGCAACGCCGCGUGCGGGAAGAAGGCUUUCGGGCUGUAAACCGCUUUCAGCAGGAACGAAAAUGACGGUACCUGCAGAAGAAGGAGCGGCCAACUAUGUGCCAGCAGCCGCGGUGAUACAUAGGCUUCAAGCGUUGUCCGGAUUUAUUGGGCGUAAAGAGUUCGUAGGCGGUCGAGUAAGUCGGGUGUGAAAAUUCUGGGCUCAACCCAGAGACGCCACCCGAUACUGCUUGACUUGAGUUCGAUAGGGGAGUGGGGAAUUCCUAGUGUAGCGGUGAAAUGCGCAGAUAUUAGGAGGAACACCGGUGGCGAAGGCGCCACUCUGGAUCGAUACUGACGCUGAGGAACGAAAGCAUGGGUAGCAAACAGGAUUAGAUACCCUGGUAGUCCAUGCCGUAAACGGUGGGCACUAGGUGUGGGUUUCUAUUAACGAAAUCCGCGCCGUCGCUAACGCAUUAAGUGCCCCGCCUGGGGGAGGUACGGUCGCAGACUAAACUACAAGAAGUAGACGGCGNGAGACGUGCCGACGGACGACGACGAGGGAGAGG
rnacentral:rRNA from 1 species